rnacentral:lncRNA from 1 species
UAAUAGUUAUGAUAGUAUAAAAUUGCUUUGAAUCAUAUUCGGGCAGUUUUUACCAUUUCUUUUUAUCCAGAAUUUAGGAAUAGGCUUUGAAAUUGGCAAUUAAGAAAAAGAGAAUGGCUGUGAAUAGUACCUUAAAACAGAGAGGAAGAAUAGGUUGGCUGAGAAAAAAAUGGUUUGGCACCAACAAUGAUGCAACUAAAUUGUGCUGACGCUCAUAAAAGACCUGCCUUCCAGAGAUUCUAACCUCAAAUGAAUCAUAAAAGGGUUUGGGAAACUUAGGAUAAGACAGCUCCACACUGACGACUAAAAGACCCUGGUAGUGGUUCCACUUUUGGACCUGUAUCUUUGAAUUUUGGGCCAAAGUUAUCCAUAUCUACAUUUGCCGUCCAUGCCCAAGUUGGAGUAGUUUAUUAGGUUUGUUCUAAGUUGCCAAAGUUUGUGGACUAUUUAGGGAAAUUAUCGAAACCGACUGAAAAUUAGAUUUAAACCACUUUAACUUUGGUUAAUCUAUUUAGGACUGCCUAGAACUGCAGUAUUAGAUUUGUCAUCAGUACGAUGGAAUUCACAUUUCACUUUUAGAAUACAGAAUGUACAUAGUUCUGAGAUAAUCAUUUCACAAUGACUUUUGCACUUUAAUUUUGACUUAGGCUCAUUUUUCUAUAGGAGCAUUUGAUUUCGAUUAAGUUCCAUUUGUUAUAAGAGAGGGCUUUAAGCUCAUUAUAUAGGAAUGCUGGUACAGCACUUUUCUCGGUUGUGUUCAUGCUUACCUUUCUCCUGCAUUGUGGGCUAAAUAUAUAGUGAGUGCUCUUGUAGGAUAAAGCAUUUCGCAUCUUUAUAUUUUGGGGCUCUUUGCUUAUUUAGAUUUGUCAUCAGUACGAUGGAAUUCACAUUUCACUUUUAGAAUACAGAAUGUACGUAGUUCUGAGAUAAUCAUUUCACAAUGACUUUUGCACUUUAAUUUUGACUUAGGCUCAUUUUUCUAUAGGGGCAUUUGAUUUCGAUUAAGUUCCAUUUGUUAUAAGAGAGGGCUUUAAGCUCAUUAUAUAGGAAUGCUGGUACAGCACUUUUCUCGGUUGUGUUCAUGCUUACCUUUCUCCUGCAUUGUGGGCUAAAUAUAUAGUGAGUGCUCUUGUAGGAUAAAGCAUUUCGCAUCUCUAUAUUUUGGGGCUCUUUGUUUAUUUAGCAAUUAAAAUCCAAUUUGCCUAAGCCCUGAUCUGAUUUUUAAACUGGAUUAUUUUUGAGGGUUCAGAAAACUUAAUUGAGUCAUUGCUUUUGCAUUUUAGCCUUGCAAGAAC